rnacentral:rRNA from 1 species
CCUACGGGGGGCAGCAGUAAGGAAUAUUGGUCAAUGGGCGGAAGCCUGAACCAGCCAUGCCGCGUGCAGGAAGACGGCCUACGGGUUGUAAACUGCUUUUAUACCGGAAUAUGUAUGGUAAGAAUAAGGAUCGGCUAACUCCGUGCCAGCAGCCGCGGUAAUACGGAGGAUCCAAGCGUUAUCCGGAUUUAUUGGGUUUAAAGGGUGCGUAGGUGGCUUUUUAAGUCAGGGGUGAAAGACGGUAGCUUAACUAUCGCAGUGCCUUUGAUACUGAAGAGCUUGAAUGAACUAGAGGUAGGCGGAAUGUGACAAGUAGCGGUGAAAUGCAUAGAUAUGUCACAGAACACCAAUUGCGAAGGCAGCUUACUAGGUUUAUUGACACUGAGGCACGAAAGCGUGGGGAUCAAACAGGAUUAGAUACCCUUGUAGUC